AAUGUCUGUGUAACAGCUGUGUGAUUUUAUCAAUUUACAGACUCUGACUCAUCCAGUGAUGAAGCUUCAAAUGAAGAUCGAAUGGCUGAUCACCAUUCUGGCGGGACAUCAGAUGACAGAGGGGAGGAUCCACAUCAUGAAAUGAGUGACGAUGAAGUAGAGAUGGCUGCAGACGACGAAGGAACAGAUCAACAACAUGAAAUGGUACAACAUAAACAUGCAGGAUUGU